UUUCUUCUGCCCGGCAAACACCUCCUCGGUGGUGGGAAACAAGUGUCCAGCUGGCCAUUACUGCCCUGCUUCCACAUCCUUUGCUUCUCAAUUCCCCUGCCCCAGAGGCACCUACAAGCCACAGAGAGGGGGUGCCCAGCAGUCAGACUGCACACCCUGUGAACCAGGUAAGGGGACAGGUACAUAUCCCCAAUCCUACCAUGUUAGGCCACAUCUUCCCUGACCAGUGAGGGCAGGACUCAGGCCUGUCUCAGAUGGGGAUGCUUUGGCCAUAGCCCAUGGUGCACACUAGGUCAGCCCACAUUCGCUGGCUGGGGUGGAGGUACCCCAAUCCCUCUGCUCCCCAUGCCUGAGCGUCCUGUCUUCCCCUCUCUCCUACAGGUUCCUACUGCCUCCUACCUGGGCUAGUGGCUGUGUCUGGGCCUUGUAGUGCAGGGUUCCACUGUACUCAGGCAGCAGCUGUCCCAAAUCCCACUGAUGGGAUCACAGGAGACCUCUGUCCAUCGGGCCACUUUUGUCCCAAGGGUAGCCCCAAGCCCACUCCAUGCCCCCCAGGUUCUGUUCCUUUGGGAUUCAGAGGCCAGGCGCCAGGCCUAUUUGGCCAAUGGACUGUCCUGCUGGCUACUAUUGCCCUUUGGGUACCUGGACCCCCACCCAGCACCCAUGUCCAAGGGGAACCUUCCGAGAGUGGCCUGGUGCACGCAGUGCUACGGAUUGUAGACCUUGUCCUGCAGGACAAUUCUGUUCAGAUUCAGGAUCCGGGAAACCCUUCCCAGAUGGGCCAUGCUCAGCAGGUUAUUACUGUCCUCCUGGCCAGACCUCAGCCACCCCUACAUCUUUCCGGUGUCCCCGUGGCUUCUACUGUCCAGAGGGAUCUCCCCAGCCAAGGGCCUGUGAGAAUGGAACAUUCCAGCCCCAGGAGGCCAAGGGGUCUUGUGAGCCCUGCCCUGCAGGAUUCUACUGUGAAGCAUCAGGCACAGGUCUCACAGCCGGUGGCCCCAGCCUGUGCCUCCAGGGCUACUUCUGUCCCCCUGGCUCCCACUCAGCCACUGCCCACCCAUGCCCUCGGGGGACAUUCGGGCCCAGGCGAGGGGCCAGUGCAGAACUGGACUGUGAGCUGUGCCCAGCAGGGAUGUUCUGCUCAUCAGAAGGGCUGUCCCAGCCAUCAGGGCUCUGCCACUCAGCCCACUACUGCACAGGAGGUGCGGUGUCUCCCACCCCCCUCAAACACAAGGUGGAGGCCCCAGGACUUUCUGGGAAUGAUAUCUGCCCUCCCGGCUUCUUCUGCCCCAGAGGAACAGGCUCCCCAAUGCCAUGCCUGCCUGGGUCUUACUCCUCUGCCCCAGGCCUGGCCAGCGAGGACCAGUGCCAGCCGUGUCCUCCAGGGCACUACUGCAGCAACCCUGGGCUCUCCCAUGUCCCAGAGGCAGAACUCUGCGAUGCAGGGUAUAUCUGCCUGGGAGGCAGUGCUGUGCCCUCACCUUCUGAUGGAACCCACGGAUACAGAUGUCCUCCUGGCUUCCACUGUCCCUCAGGGGCUCACAGCGAGCAGCCCUGUGAACCUGGCACCUUCAGCCCAUUGCCUGGGGCUGACACCUGCCUGCCUUGCCCAGGAGGCACCUACUGCCAAAAUGUUGCUACCGUGGAGCCCACCACCUGCCCCAAAGGUCACUAUUGCCCAGGAGGGACACCCUCUGCUCUUCCCUGCCCGGAGGGAACCCUGAACCUACGGGAAGGUGCUCUCUCCCCCAGGGCCUGUCAGCCCUGUCCUGCAGGAAGAUACUGCCCUGGUGAGGGCAACGGGCAGACUGAGGAUCGCUCAGCCAGUCACUACCCUGUGUACCAGAUGCAGCAUUUGUUCAACAGCAACCCCAACUGGGACUUUGGGGCCUUCAGGAGACUCAGCCACCUCGUGCGAGAGACUCACCUCAACUUUUCAAGGUUUGCCCACCAGUUCCUAGAUCCAGGCACAUAUGUGUUUCGAGACAACAGACUGCCUGAGAGCAUCAUUGUGGUGCUGGUGAAGAAGAAAGGAGUGGCCUGCGAUCCCGGCCUAUCCCCUGUGCAGCCCUCCUCCCCGUAUCAGCUUGUCAGGCAUGGGGUCCUCAGGCACGAGCUGCUAAACCUGGGCCCAGACUGGACAGUGAUCACAGGAGAACCACUCCCCUUGAAGACCCUGGAGGACUUCAGUGUCCGCACUCUCUAUGACAAGCUCGAGGACCAGAGCCUACACGUGGCCGCCCAGCUGAGCAAACACAGGAGCGAGGCACUGGCCUUCUAUAGGGGUGCCAGCCAGCAGCUCCAGGGGCUCAAGGACUUUCUCCAACACCUCAGCACAACUGAGUGGCAAGCUCUGGACAAGGGUGGAGACCCAGAGAUGGAGGCCACAGCUGCCACCAGGACAGACACUGAGCAGAGUGUGGAAUCAUGGGGCCACCACACUGCAAGUCUACCUAGGGAGCCCUGGCAGCAUCCUCUAGCUCUCAGCAGGACCUGGGACCUGGACAGCUUCCCCAGUGUGCUGCCAAAGGAGGAGGCACCGAGAGCCCAGGCUCUAGGUUGUGGAUCAUUGGGGCUGGACACAGGCAUGGAGCCUUUCCUGAGAUGCAGAGGAAGAUAUGGCAGGUGGAAAACACUUUGGAUGAACUGAAUGAGGAGUUCUUCCAGCUCACUGCUCAAGCCCUAGAACUUCAGAAGGAAAAGGACAAACCAGGUCAACUUCCCCCAAGUGAAGGCAAUACAUUUGUGGUAAGCCCAGCAGACUACCACCUCAGCUCCUGAGAUGUCCACAGAUAGCUGGGUCUCACGUGUGGGGCCCACAGAGUCACAGGACCCCAUAGAAAGGGUUGGGACCAGAAAGUCCACCAACCAAAGUUUGGUUUUGCCUGUUUGGUUUAGCACAUACUUCUAGAGACAGGGAGGACCUCUCAAUCAGCUUGGGCUUGCAGGUCUCUAAGUAAAUUGAUGGCUCGGAAAGACUGAGGAAGAGUAUGAAAAGGGAGCAAUAAAAAUAGCUGUUUAGAUGUAGCUAACUAGUAG
ensembl:lncRNA